GCAAGUCGUGCGAGAAAGUUCUUCGGAUAUGAGUAGAGCGGCGGACGGGUGAGUAACGCGUAGGAAUCUACCUAGUAGAAGGGGAUAGCCCGGGGAAACCCGGAUUAAUACCGUAUACCUCCUUCGGGAGAAAGAAGGCCUCUCUUUGAAGCUUUCGCUACUAGAUGAGCCUGCGUAAGAUUAGCUUGUUGGUGAGGUAAAGGCUCACCAAGGCUACGAUCUUUAGCUGGACUGAGAGGACGAUCAGCCACAUUGGGACUGAGACACGGCCCAGACUCCUACGGGAGGCAGCAGUGGGGAAUAUUGGACAAUGGGCGCAAGCCUGAUCCAGCCAUACCGCGUGUGUGAAGAAGGCCUUCGGGUUGUAAAGCACUUUAAGCAGGGAGAAAAAGUUAUAAGCUAAUACCUUAUGACCUUGAUGUUACCUGCAGAAUAAGCACCGGCUAAUUCCGUGCCAGCAGCCGCGGUAAUACGGAAGGUGCAAGCGUUAAUCGGAAUUACUGGGCGUAAAGCGCGCGUAGGUGGUUUGUUAAGUUGGAUGUGAAAGCCCUGGGCUCAACCUAGGAACUGCAUCCAAAACUAACUCACUAGAGUACGAUAGAGGGAGGUAGAAUUCAUAGUGUAGCGGUGGAAUGCGUAGAUAUUAUGAAGAAUACCAGUGGCGAAGGCGGCCUCCUGGAUCUGUACUGACACUGAGGUGCGAAAGCGUGGGUAGCGAACAGGAUUAGAUACCCUGGUAGUCCACGCCGUAAACGAUGACAACUAGCUGUUGGGAGACUAUGUCUUUCAGCGGCGC
rnacentral:rRNA from 1 species